rnacentral:lncRNA from 1 species
UCCUGUGGAAGCAAGGAGAUGAAAAGAAGCCUUUUUUUUCUUUUCCCUUUUUUUUCUCCUCUCUCCUCUAGAAUGGAAAUACUGUUAAAACAUUGAGCGGAUUCAGUGCUUUAAGAAAAGUAUCAACUAUUGCAUCCUGCUGUACGGUUGCGAGUACAGUGCACAUUCUGCAGUGUUGUGAAGUGUUUCUGAAGUCCUGUGGAAAACUUCUUUGACACUGAGGAGAAGAGACUGCAAACCAAGUUUUUUAAAAGGUGCAAAGAUCCUGAAGAUUAACAUUUAUCAUGUUGAGAUUUGGGCAGCACCUCAUCAAGCCCUCGGUGGUAUUCCUGAGGACGGAGCUCUCCUUUGCCCUUGUGAACCGGAAGCCAGUGGUCCCAGGGCGUAUCCUUUCAACCAGAGCCUCAGUCAGGAGUGCGUAUGGGCCGCUCAGCGUUCUGUGGAAAAGAGGGAGGCACUCUUUGCGUUCUGAAGGCCAGGUAGCCAGACAGGAAUGGAUUUUCUGCUGGUCUAAUUACCUCUAAUUUUGGUCCCACGAUAUCUUACCAACCUUGCCAAUUGCAAGAAACUGCUCUGAAUGGGAAUCAGUGUUCUUCUGUGUCGCUUUGUGGCCCAGGUAAGCCCCUGGGCUGUGUCUCGAAGCGGUGCAGAGCAGGAUGCCGGCCUGGGCAGGAGGAAGGGAUCCUGGCUUCUUUCCCUCAUCCUGAGCCUGCAAUACACAAGGACGGAGAGACUCAUCAGAAACACUAAACCAGAGGGUGUAGGAGAG